rnacentral:rRNA from 1 species
UACGUAGGGUGCGAGCGUUGUCCGGAAUUAUUGGGCGUAAAGAGCUCGUAGGCGGUGUGUCACGUCGGCCGUGAAAACCUGCAGCUUAACUGUGGGCGUGCGGUCGAUACGGGCAUCACUGGAGUUCGGCAGGGGAGACUGGAAUUCCUGGUGUAGCGGUGAAAUGCGCAGAUAUCAGGAGGAACACCAGUGGCGAAGGCGAGUCUCUGGGAUGAUGCUGACGCUGAUGCGCGAAAGCCAGGGGAGCAAACGGG